UACGUAGGGUGCAAGCGUUGUCCGGAAUUAUUGGGCGUAAAGAGCUCGUAGGCGGUCUGUCGCGUCGGCUGUGAAAACUCGGGGCUCAACCCCGAGCCUGCAGUCGAUACGGGCAGACUUGAGUGCUGUAGGGGAGACUGGAAUUCCUGGUGUAGCGGUGAAAUGCGCAGAUAUCAGGAGGAACACCGGUGGCGAAGGCGGGUCUCUGGGCCGAUACUGACGCUGAGGAGCGAAAGCGUGGGGAGCGAACAGG
rnacentral:rRNA from 1 species